rnacentral:lncRNA from 1 species
CUAGAAGUUAAGAAAACUUGCCAUCAAGGAAUAAGUACUGAAUAAUUUUAUUAAUUUGUAAAUGGCUCCUCGUUAGGAGGAUUAAAUACAACUUUCUUGUUAAAGCAAUCUAUGGUGGCGUGAUACGCCGCUAGCCAAUCCAUUCCUAAGAUUACAUUAAAAUCCCCUGCGUCUAACCCUACCAAGUCUACACUCAGUUUCCU